rnacentral:rRNA from 1 species
UCGUUUGCGACGCCCAACACACAAAACAAGCGGUGAGUGCUUUGGGGUGGGGUGACUGCGUACCUUUUGUAUAAUGGGUCAGCGACUUAUAUUCUGUAGCAAGGUUAACCGAAUAGGGGAGCCGGAGGGAAACCGAGUCUUAAUUGGGCGUUAAGUUGCAGGGUAUAGACCCGAAACCCGGUGAUCUAGCCAUGGGCAGGUUGAAGGUUGGGUAACACUAACUGGAGGACCGAACCGACUAAUGUUGAAAAAUUAGCGGAUGACCUGUGGCUGGGGGUGAAAGGCCAAUCAAACCGGGAGAUAGCUGGUUCUCCCCGAAAGCUAUUUAGGUAGCGCCUCGUGAAUUCAUCUCCGGGGGUAGAGCACUGUUUCGGCUAGGGGGUCAUCCCGACUUACCAACCCGAUGCAAACUGCGAAUACCGGAGAAUGUUAUCACGGGAGACACACGGCGGGUGCUAACGUCCGUCGUGAAGAGGGAAACAACCCAGACCGCCAGCUAAGGUCCCAAAGUCAUGGUUAAGUGGGAAACGAUGUGGGAAGGCCCAGACAGCCAGGAUGUUGGCUUAGAAGCAGCCAUCAUUUAAAGAAAGCGUAAUAGCUCACUGGUCGAGUCGGCCUGCGCGGAAGAUGUAACGGGGCUAAACCAUGCACCGAAGCUGCGGCAGCGAACGUAUCACUUAAAGCGAUUCAGCGGGUUACGAUUGACGGAGCGAAGCGACGUCAAAGCGUAUACAAAGUCGAGUCGGUUUAAGGAUACGUUCGUUGGGUAGGGGAGCGUUCUGUAAGCCUGUGAAGGUGGCCUGUGAGGGUUGCUGGAGGUAUCAGAAGUGCGAAUGCUGACAUAAGUAACGAUAAAGCGGGUGAAAAGCCCGCUCGCCGGAAGACCAAGGGUUCCUGUCCAACGUUAAUCGGGGCAGGGUGAGUCGACCCCUAAGGCGAGGCCGAAAGGCGUAGUCGAUGGGAAACAGGUUAAUAUUCCUGUACUCGGUGUUACUGCGAAGGGGGGACGGAGAAGGCUAUGUUGGCCGGGCGACGGUUGUCCCGGUUUAAGCGUGUAGGUGUGUGGACCAGGCAAAUCCGGUUCACUUCAACACUGAGGCGUGAUGACGAGGCACUACGGUGCUGAAGCAACAAAUGCCCUGCUUCCAGGAAAAGCCUCUAAGCAUCAGGUAACAUCAAAUCGUACCCCAAACCGACACAGGUGGUCAGGUAGAGAAUACCAAGGCGCUUGAGAGAACUCGGGUGAAGGAACUAGGCAAAAUGGUGCCGUAACUUCGGGAGAAGGCACGCUGACACGUAGGUGAAGUGAUUUACUCAUGGAGCUGAAGUCAGUCGAAGAUACCAGCUGGCUGCAACUGUUUAUUAAAAACACAGCACUGUGCAAACACGAAAGUGGACGUAUACGGUGUGACGCCUGCCCGGUGCCGGAAGGUUAAUUGAUGGGGUCAGCGCAAGCGAAGCUCCUGAUCGAAGCCCCGGUAAACGGCGGCCGUAACUAUAACGGUCCUAAGGUAGCGAAAUUCCUUGUCGGGUAAGUUCCGACCUGCACGAAUGGCGUAAUGAUGGCCAGGCUGUCUCCACCCGAGACUCAGUGAAAUUGAACUCGCUGUGAAGAUGCAGUGUACCCGCGGCAAGACGGAAAGACCCCGUGAACCUUUACUAUAGCUUGACACUGAACAUUGAGCCUUGAUGUGUAGGAUAGGUGGGAGGCUUUGAAGUGUGGACGCCAGUCUGCAUGGAGCCGACCUUGAAAUACCACCCUUUAAUGUUUGAUGUUCUAACGUGGACCCGUAAUCCGGGUUGCGGACAGUGUCUGGUGGGUAGUUUGACUGGGGCGGUCUCCUCCUAAAGAGUAACGGAGGAGCACGAAGGUUGGCUAAUCCUGGUCGGACAUCAGGAGGUUAGUGCAAUGGCAUAAGCCAGCUUGACUGCGAGCGUGACGGCGCGAGCAGGUGCGAAAGCAGGUCAUAGUGAUCCGGUGGUUCUGAAUGGAAGGGCCAUCGCUCAACGGAUAAAAGGUACUCCGGGGAUAACAGGCUGAUACCGCCCAAGAGUUCAUAUCGACGGCGGUGUUUGGCACCUCGAUGUCGGCUCAUCACAUCCUGGGGCUGAAGUAGGUCCCAAGGGUAUGGCUGUUCGCCAUUUAAAGUGGUACGCGAGCUGGGUUUAGAACGUCGUGAGACAGUUCGGUCCCUAUCUGCCGUGGGCGCUGGAGAACUGAGGGGGGCUGCUCCUAGUACGAGAGGACCGGAGUGGACGCAUCACUGGUGUUCGGGUUGUCAUGCCAAUGGCACUGCCCGGUAGCUAAAUGCGGAAGAGAUAAGUGCUGAAAGCAUCUAAGCACGAAACUUGCCCCGAGAUGAGUUCUCCCUGAGACUUAGAGUCUCCUGAAGGAACGUUGAAGACGACGACGUUGAUAGGCCGGGUGUGUAAGCGCAGCGAUGCGUUGAGCUAACCGGUACUAAUGAACCGUGAGGCUUAACCUU